UCCACACCUGGGAUAUGAACCGGUGGACCCUGGGCCACCAAAGCUGAGUGCACAAACUUAACCACUGCGCCACAGGGCAGGCCCCUCACAGUUGUUUUUCAAAGGUAAGAUUUGUCAACCUUCUCACUCCAUCACGCCAGAAGUUCGAAGUCUGAAAUAAUUAAGAUGUGGAAGAGUAUGUACAGUAUAAUUCCAUUUACAUCUGCUCUAAGUACGGGCAAAACUAAACUACAUGGUUUAAGGAUGAGUGUAUCGGUGGUGAUACUGUGAAGAAAAGCAAGUAAAUGAUUAUCAUCUAUGUGAGGAUAGUCAUUACCUCUCAGAGGAGGAAGGGGCGGUUGUGGAGGGAAGUGGACACAUGGAGCACAUGGAUGGUUUCCGGGAUGCCAAUACUAUUCUAUCUCUUGAUUUGAAUGGUAGUUAACAAAUAUUCACUUUAAAACCAUUUCUUAAACAAUAUAUGUAGUUUUAUACAUGCAUGUUUCAGCAUGUAUAUUAUAUAUUACAAUAAAAACUGUAUAAAUCACACUAUUAAUUUGUUAAUUUAGUCAAUAAAUAUUUAUUGUGCAACUUUAGUAUAAACAGCAGUUCUAGACAAUGAGCAUACAGUAACAAAGUCAGAGAACGUCUCUGUUCUCAUGGAGCUUACAGCUUAUGGGGAGAAAGACAGUGAAAAGUAAGUCCAAAAAAGGGGUAAUUUCAGAUUACAACAAAGAGUAUGAAGAACAGGCUGGUGGCUAGAGGGAAGCACUGGGGAGGAGGGCAGUGAGCCAGCUCUGCCAGAGAAGGUCUCUCUGCGGAGAUGACAUUUGAGUGAGAACUGAAGAGUGAGAAGGAGUUGGCCAUAUAAGGAUCUGGAGCAAGCGCCUCCCAGGGAGAGAAAAUAAGUUCAGAGCUCAGAAAAGUCUGGAGAAGGAGAGAGGGACUUGCGAGCUGACAUCAAACAUCUGAAGGAUUGCUUUGGAUGGACGCAAGGAGGUGGAGUGAGGCUCAGCGGGUACAAGGCAAGAGAGGCUGAAUUCUGCUGGAGGAAAGGCAGGCUUGGCGCCGUCAGAACUGAAAGCGGAUCGCCCACACUUUGAGGUGAGGCUACAGGGGGUGAGAAGCAUUUUUAAUAGUCAUCACUUCACUGUGUAACGUGUGAAAGCAAUUCGGCACCUCUUCUUUUUUGGAAUGGCUCUUUGAAAAGCACCCUAACUUCAGCAACAUUGGCUCUAAUAUCUCAUCUAUUCCGGUAAAAUGGUUCUCCCCCUUUUACUGCACAGCAUCUCACGUUGCAGGUUAGAAGCAACAAAGGAAACAAGGUGAUGCAGGGGCGCCCAGCCUGUAGGAUGGGGUCUGGGUGGGCAUGCUCUUUAUGAACGGAAAUCACAGUUUCCUUUGUAGAGAGUAAGACUUGGAUUAAAUCUUUGGAUAUUUUUUAAAUGUCUUUUUCACAAUCAUGUAUUGGGAAACCCAUUUCUUACUAAACUGAUUGAAUAAUACGUUUAUGAUCUAUAAUUGCACUUACAGCUUUUCUGUAAAUGUAAACUAUAAUUUGUUGUCAAUUUUAUAUGUUUUGCUGUAACAUUUAAGAGAAGACCAGACUUUUUUUAAGAAAGAGUUUAUUUAGAAAGCAUCAUCAUGUAAAUAAAUUGUACCACUUUGAUUUUCUUUGAAUACAAGAUUCAUGAUGCAAAGCUGAAGCCACUCAUGAGGACUGUGCUUUUCUAAAAAGUUGGGUCUUUUCAAAAACAUCUAUGAACUAUGCAUGAUUAAUAAAGAUUUCCUUUGAGGCAGGACAAAAUAAAAACUCCUUUUUUCCCAUAUUAACAAUUGUACACAAAUGUUUGUACCUGCUUUAUUUUCAAUAGCCAAAAAUGGGAAAUAACUCAAAUGUCCAUAAACAGAUGAAUGGAUAAACUAAUAGUGGUAUAUCCAAAGAUAAGAAUAUUACUCAGCAAAAAAACCCCAGAAGGAUGAGCUAUUCAUAUAAUACCAUUGAGGGAUCUCAAAGUAAUUAUGAAACAUAGAACAAACUAAAAAGAAAAAAGAGUAAACAUUUUAGGAUUCCAACCACGUAAAUUCUAGAAAAUGCAAAGGUGUCUAUUGUAAGGAAAAGCAAAUCAACGGUUAUUUGGAGCAUUGUGAAGGGCAGGGAGAGAGAUUAUAAAAGGACAUGAAGCAAAUAGAUGGUGACAGAUAUGAUCAUUACCUGACUAUGAGAAUGGUCUCACAGGUACAUAUGUAUGUUGAAACUUAUAAGAUACCACAUUUUAAAUAUGUGCAGUUUUAUUACAUAUAAAUUAUACUUUCAUAAAGCUUUUAAAAACGACUCAAGAAAAAAGCCUACAUGUUCCACUCUUUUUGGAAAAUGGUUUUGGCAACCCUGUAUUAACUCCACCAUUAGCGCAAGUGCCUCAUCAAGAGGUACUUGAGGAGCCAGCACAGCCCAUAUCACUGGAAGAUUGUCACUCUCUUAGUAAGGUUAGUGAACACACGGUUUUUGGCCAUCCCUCCUCUCAUGUGGAACAAUCUCCGGUUCUCCUGGUGGGACUUCUCUCUCCCCUAUUGUGACAACCUUGACUUAACAAUAGCCCUGGACAAAGAGUGGUCACGUCAUGACCUGAGACGAGUCACAUGGGCCUUCGUCCGCUGGACCCUCCUUUCUGCAGCGGUCCAAAGGUGGAGUCGAGGACACAACGCAAAGCUGAUGCCCCCUAGCGGUUGUCUCAGGGGCGGCCUUAGCAUUUCUGUGUAGAAGCGAGGGGGUGGCAUUCGGCUCGAUGGCAGGAUUUCCGGGCCAGCUUGAAACUACUUUCACAUGGCAUUUGGAAUAAGGGUUGUCUCACUUUCGAUGGCAAAUGAAUCCAGGAGUGACAAGCUUAAACCUGUCCUUAGUCACUUUGGACUUAGGAACGAUGGACUUCACAAACAGCCACAGAAAAAUGAAAAUAUACAGAUUCUACACUUUCACAAGUGAACAUCAGAUUUACCCACACUGCUUCUGGUUCUCAUAUUUUUCACUGUGAUCAGUACAGAACAUCUACGCUAUUCAUAUUCAAUAAAUGAGAAGCCAAACUUUCCCAGUAAUCACAACAUCUCUCAUGCAAACAGAAGAGUUUGAUGAAAACAAUUUCAUUUUCUAGAGCGGGUGGGCAGGGGGAAGGUAUCUGGAGUGAGUUAGAAACCCCACUCAACCCACCUCAGCUCCUGCCCACUAUUGCCAGGCAGGAGUGAGCAACCUCAUGUGGCCAGAUCUUCCCAUUUUCCAAGAGAAGCUAGAAAUUGAGUUUGUAUUU